AUGUUGUAUUUUCCAAUUCUACAGGUGAUCAGUGAAACCAUGCUGAAGGUAUUAUUACUGCUGGGAUGCCUCAUGUGCCUCACCCUGGCUGAUUCUAUAGCUCAACGAGGGAAACGCCCACAACAUGGAGGCCCCCCAAAUGGAGGCCCCCCUCAUCGAGGCCCCCCAAAUGGAGGUCCCCCACAUCGAGGCCCCCCAAAUGGAGGCCCCCCUCAUCGAGGCCCCCCUCAUGAGGGCCAUAAACACCAUCACAGCAAUGAGGAUCCUUCUCUGAACCAACCAUCUACUACAACAACUACAGCUCCAGCUACAACAACUACAGCUCCAACUACAACAACUGUGGCUCCAACUACAACAACUGUGGCUCCAACUACAACUACCACAGCUGCUACUACAACUGUGGCUCCAACUACAACUACCACAGCUGCUACUACAACUGUGGCUCCAACUACAACUACCACAGCUGCUACUACAACUGUGGCUCCAACUACAACAA
rnacentral:lncRNA from 1 species